rfam:Nicotiana attenuata strain TT chromosome 12, whole genome shotgun sequence.
UUGCUGUGAUGAAUUCAGCUUUUGAAAGUCGCAAGGCUUGAAGAUGCAUCGGCAAUCAUGUCGAUUCUGAGCGGUUAACUGAGCAA